GAUAUCAACUGAAAAAGUCAUCAACAACAAAGUUGAAUAACUCAUCAAGAUCUAAAACUUUUAUUUUGGUCAUUUCUUCAUAGGACAAAGUGAUAGUAACAUUGUUCACAAAAUUGACAUCUCUUAUCUGGUUUUUUAUAAACUAUAACACAUAUAUGUAAAAUUUAUGAAUAAUAUUACUAACAUUUCGUCAGAUGAAGAAAUAACAAAAAUAAAAGUUUUAGAUCUUGAUGAGUUAUUCAACUUUGUUGUUGAUGAUUUUUUUCAAUUGAAAUC
rnacentral:pre_miRNA from 1 species